AUUGAACGCUGGCGGCAUGCCUUACACAUGCAAGUCGAACGGCAGCACGGGAGCAAUCCUGGUGGCGAGUGGCGAACGGGUGAGUAAUAUAUCGGAACGUGCCCAGUCGUGGGGGAUAACGCAGCGAAAGCUGUGCUAAUACCGCAUACGAUCUAAGGAUGAAAGCGGGGGAUCGCAAGACCUCGCGCGAUUGGAGCGGCCGAGAUCAGAUUAGCGAGUGGGUGGGGUACAGGCCCACCAAGGCGACGAUCUGUAGCUGGUCUGAGAAGACGGCCAGCCAAACUGGAACUGAGACACGGUCCAUACUCCUGCGGGAGGCAGCAGUGGGGAAUGUUGGACAAUGGGCGCAAGCCUGAUCCAGCAAUGCGGCGUGCAAGAUGAAGGCCUUCGGGUUGUAAACUGCUUUUGUACGGAACGAAACGGCACUUUCUAAUACAGGGGGCUAAUGACGGUACCGUAAGAAUAAGCACCGGCUAACUACGUGCCAGCCGCCGCGGUAACAC
rnacentral:rRNA from 1 species